CUCACUGAGUCUUUCACAAUGUGGCGACUUGCUUAUUGGUGAUGAAAGACUUCUCAUGUAUUGAGAUGCUAUUCUAUGUGCCCUGGAAAGUUCUUCCACUUUAAAUUUCUCAUGUCACUGUAACAUUUGCUUGCCUGUUUGGAUGUUAAUUUCACAAAAUUAAUAUUUUUAAUGCUUCCAUAAUAUUGCUUACUAUCAGAUUGGAAUUUCUUCCUCUAUAGUGAAUCCAAAUACAACUCACCCAGAACUGACCCCUUCAAGGGAAACAAGCAUGGGACAGUCAUGCAACCAGACAUCCCACAGGGACUUGACAGCAUACCCCAUGCUCCAGGCCAGGAGGAGAGGUGGCACUGGGAGGCAGACACUGAGGACAAGAUGGGAUGGGUCCUAGCUAUUGACAAGGACAAUGCUGGAGGGAGUCAUCUCUGUGUCACCUGAAAAUGAGUUCGGGCAGUGGGUGCUAUGGACACGAGUCCUGGGCAAUGCCCUCUUGUCAUGCCUCCUCUCCCUGAAGAUGGCCCAGGAGGGGUCAUAUUCUCCCUUGAGUGUGCCUGUGGACACCUCUUCUUUUAUAACACGACCAAGUGCCCUAUUGUCACCUUCCCCCAUUUUAUUCUCUGAAACUCUACACCUACUCUUCAUUCUUUGGCCCCUAAUGUAGGUUCUCCUGGCACAGUUCCCUUGGACUUUGGAAACCAAAAUUAGAUUCCAAGCACCAGCUUGUUUCUUUUUUUACCUUCAAGUGGGACUCACAAGACCAUCAGGUACCAGAUCUAAAGUGCUGUAAUCUCUGGCUUCAAAUUUGAUUUGGUGACUGCUCCCUUCAGAGACAUAACCAUCCCAAGUCCUCUGAUAUCCUGCCUACUGAUCGCAAUCUGAUAUCUGAUGACCAAAGACCCUUAGAAAGUCCAAUGGGGAAUGCAAUUUAGCCUAGAGAAGGACAUGCAAGAAAUGGUCAAGUAUUUUAUUGGUUUCUUUAACAAGAUGACAAUUAAUUAUCCAAGUAGGGCUGAGAAAUUAUAAAUACAGUUUAAAAAGAGUAAAAGAAAAUACAGCUGAAUAUACAGAGAAAACCGAUCACUAAGAUAUAAUCUAGAAAAUCAUGGAAAAUGUGGAAUCCCAGACUUUUUCAGAAAGUUAAUAGAAAAUGUGGAGUGGAGACAAUUUUCAGAAAUUCUAGUCCAAGAGAACAUUUAAUUAUGUAUCAUGUAUAUGAAAUGUCAAUUUUGUUUUUAGAGAAAAAUGAAACAGUUUAAAAAUCAAUAAUUAUGAAAUAAACAUAAGCAAUAAAUGUAACAGAGUAAAAAUAUGUUAACAUCAUAAUAAAUUAAAGAAGAGAAGUUACAUGAGGAAGAAGAAAUAAUGUGAAAAAAAUGUCUUGGAAAAAGUCUUAACAUCUUCUGAGGUGAGAGUGGGGAAAACCUGCAAAUGACACUGCUGUUUCCCAGGUUGGCAAUCAUCAUAGAGUUUUGCUGUUCUGUGAAGGUCAUUCAUCUACAGCAGCGGUUCUCAACCUGUGGGUCGAGACCCCUUUGGGGGUCAAACGACCCUUUCACAGGGGUCGCCUAAGACCAUUGGAAAACACAUAUAUAAUUACGUAUUGUUUUUUUGAUUAAUCACUAUGCUUUAAUUAUGUUCAAUUUGUAACAAUGAAAAUACAUCCUGCACAUCAGAUAUUUACAUUACGAUUCAUAACAGUAGUAAAAUUGCAGUUAUGAAGUAGCAACGAAAAUAAUUUUAUGGUUGGGGGUCACUACAACAUGAGGAACUGUAUUAAAGGGUCGCGGCAUUAGGAAGGUUGAGAACCACUGAUCUACAGCAUUCUGGAGUUUCUUUCCAGUCAUGAUAUUCUUGUUUUGUGUUUGAAACCAUGUUAAUUCUUCCACAGUUAUGGACACAUUUAUUUUAUUUAGUUCUUAAAAUUUUUUAAUUGAGGUAUGUGGAGAGCGGCUACAAUGUUUGGACAGGUUCAAGCCUGGGACUAAUGAGAGGGCACGAUCUUCUCAUGGCAAAGCCACGUGCAAGUCCCAGAACAAUUAUAGCCAAAGGCUAUAGUUGUAAGCUUGACCUUAUGGUCCAAGCCUGUGGUCCCACAUGGCUAAGUGAUAUGGGCUGUGGGAGGUGCAGCAAGUAAACAAAGCUUGAUCAGGCACAUAAUUGAGUAGAUUCGAAACCUGCAAGAGCAUUGUAAAUAUCUUGACCAUGCCCUUACUUUGCCUCGUGGAAUCUGGCUAUAAAAUAAAGACUUGGCUUACAGGCUGUGGCGUUAUCUCUCCAUCAGAGAGGGCAGUGUCUCACCUAGACUAAGUUUUAUUCUCUUGGCCAUGCCAGCUCAGCACAGAGGUAAAAUACACAUAACAUAACGUUUAUCAUUUUGACCAUUAUAAAGUACACAAUUCAGUGAUAUUUAUACUUUCAUAAUAUCAUGCAGCCAUCAUCAUUAUCUAUUUCCUGAAUAUUUUCAUUAUUCUAAAGUGAAACUCCAUACCCAUAAGCAGGCACAACACAUUUUUCCCUCUCCCCAGCCCCAGGUAACUGCUAAUCUAUUUGGUCCUGAUGUAAUUACAUAUUCUCAAUCUAUACUAAUAAAAGGCUAAUAUGCUAAUUAGACUGGAAAUCUUCUGGAUAACCUUCUGGACGUCCUUCUAGACAAAGCCAUGGUGGCGAGGCUGAAGCAGAGAUGGUUAGGGGAGAUCAGGCUGGCAGGGUAGAGCAGUUAGGGGGAUCAGGCUGACAGGGGAGAGCAGAUAGGGUGAUCAGGUUGGCAGGGGAGAGCAGAUAGGGUGAUCAGGCCAACAGGCAGGUGAGCGCAUAGGAGCCAGUGGUUCUGGAUUGUGAGAUUGGGAUUGGGCCAAUCAGACAUCCCCUGAGGGGUCCCGGAUUGGAGAGAGUGCAGACCAGGCUGAGGGACAACCCCCCAGGUGAGUGAAUUUUGUGCACCUGGCCUCUAGAAUCCUAUCUAAUAAAAGACAAAAGGGUAAUUAAUCAUACCUUCGCUACGCUUCCCAUGGGCUGACCAGUGAGAUAUGCAAAUUAACUGCCAACCAAGAUGGCGGCCGGCAGCCAUGCAGCUGAAGCAAGCAGGAGGUUUCUUGCUCCAGUGAUGGAGGAAGCCAAAGUUCUCCACCUUCUGCAGCCCAGCUCUGAGUUCUGGAAGCAACAAUGUUUCAAUUUUAGAAGUUAAACAAACCCCAGAUACCUGCUUUCAGCCAGCCGCAGCCUCAGAGCUGGGAGUGUCAGUGAAGGCAACAAUGUUUCAAUUAUAGAAGGAAGGGAAGGCUCACUCAAAAGGAGAAGCUCGUAUUUUAUAUCCUUGAAGACACAAGCUUGGUGAUGUUAGAGAAGGCUUAGCUGCAUUGAGGCAAAGGAAACCUCAACAGUGGGAAGGACACCGUCAGCGAGGAAAACAGGCAGUGCUGUCAACUCUUCUCCAUGAAGGCUGCACAUGUUUCUCCGUGUUUAUUUGACUAAUUUUACUUUUUACUCUGAAAUCAUAAACUGCAACGUCAAUUCCUUUCUCAUUCACAUAUUCACAGAGGACAGAAGUCUGGACUUGCUGACCAGUGAGAACUUGUCUGUAUACAUAAAAGCCUCUCUCUCUAUAUAAGCCUAAGCUGCCGAAUGACCAAACAACCAGUCGACCGGUCGCUGACCACCAGGGGACAGACGCUCAAUGCAGGAGCUACUCCCCGGUGGUCAGUGUGCUCCCACAGCGGGAGCACUGCUCAGCUGACUGACAGGCGCUAGACACAGGGCUCAUGGCUGGCAAGCGCAGCUGCAGCCUCUCCCGCCUCCACGGCAGUGUUACCAAGCAGUGGCUACCAAGCGACAGUGGUGGCAGGUACAGCAAGGCCAGGAUGAGUGGGAGCAGUGCCCAGCCCAGGCUCAAGCUCCUCCCUGGGUGCCUGCUGCUUCACACACUACUACAUUCCUUGGGUGAUGUCAGACUGCCGGUUUGGGGCCUUCAGGGAUCCGGUCGAAACCAGCAUUCCAACAUCUCUUGAGGGGUCCCAGAUUGCUAGAGGGCACCAGCCAGGCUGAAGGAUACCACCUGUGCAUGAAUCUGUGCACCAGGCCUCUAGUUAAUAAAUAAAAGGCUCACCUCAAGAAAGCUUGGUCUCCCACUGGAAAGGUUUUACCACUCCUCCACCACAUGGAAGACUCCAGGUUUACAAGUCGAAGGGCAAGGAGGCAAGGACAAGCUGAGCUAUUAACUUUCAAAAGAUUUGAAUGAUUUCUGUGUAUUUCCAAUAACAGUAACAUGUACCGAGAAUUCACUCAGAUGUUGACCCUUCCCUUUAGACACCACCCCUCCUCCACGUUUGAUAACACAAACAAUAAGUGUAGAAAAUUUCUCUGUAGAUGUAUUUUAUAAAAUAUUUUAAUAUAAAUCUUUAUUGUUGAAAAUAUUACAUGUGUCCCUUUUUCCCCCCAUUUCCCUCUCCCAACUCCCUCCCCUCUAAGCCUUCACCACCCACUGUCUGUGUCUAGGGGUUAUGCAUGUACGCAUGAGUUCAUUGGUUGAUCUCUUCCCCCUUCCCCCCUCCCCUGCCUUCCAUCUGAGCUUUGAAAGUCUGUUCGAUGUUUCUAUGUCUCUGGGUCUAUUUUUCUUCAUCAGUUUGUUUUUCAUUAGAAUCCACAUAUGAGUGAGAUCAUGUGAUACUUAUCUUUCUCUGACUGCCUUAUUUUGAUAAGCAUAAUGCUCUCUAGGUCUGUCUAUGCUGUUGCAAAUGGUAAGAGUUCUUUCUUUUUUUACAGCUGCAUAGUAUUCCAUUGUAUAGUAUUUAUUUCAACACACACUGAGCAAUGGAACAGAAGAGAUACCAUGCAUUUGUUUGCAGUUUUCUUGUGACAAAUGGUUACUGCUCAUAGAGACCA